AACAACUCAAUCGAAUCUCACACCAAACAAACGAACCAAACGCGUCAACGAAGGCGGCUUCUCUCUCUCGUCUCAGCUUUUCUCCUUUCGUUCGCUUUCGCUUUUCGUGUCGCCGGUAAGGCAAUUCGAUACCUCUGAACCCUAAUCAGACGCAGCCACCGUUUAGGGUUUCCAUCCUCCUCUCAUACUUUGCCUGAUUGCUUUCGUGUUUCGUUUCUCUCUUUUCAUUUCAAUUUUUGAUACGGUCCGCUGUUGAUUGUAUUAUAUCCUGGAAAAAGUAAAGAACAUCAUAAUUGGUUUUUGUCGUGUGGAUUUUUGAUUGAUUGAUUAGGGUUGUGUGAAUCAUUGAAAAAAAAAUUGAAUCCUCCGUUCUGAUUUUUCCGGAGGGUUAGGGUUUGGAAAUUUGGGGAUUUUUUUAGGGUUUGGGUUUGAAAUACAUUUCUCUUCGAUUCUUAAUUGCUUAUUGAGAAGACUUGUGCUUGUGCUUGUCAAUCACAUGGAGGCAGGACGAAAAAGUGUUUCUCUGAGAAGAGAAUUUUGCAAAUAUGGUUCCACCACCGGGUUUGAUCACCAUAGCACUCGUUCUUUCGAUGUGGAAGUGGGUGGUUCUCGCAACCACCACCUGUCUCGUUCGGGAGUGGAGCGGUUCCAUGUUGAAAAAGAGGAAGGUGAGAUCUAUGUUGAACACGAGCUUGCCUCUGUGGUGCCACCGCCCGAGAAGAAGAGGAAGUUUUCUCCAAUUAUAUGGGACCUAGCAGUGAAGGAAGAAAGAGUCUCUUCAAAGAGUAGGAUCUCGCAGAUUGCUGCUCUGUCUCCUCCUCGUCCAUCUCUACCUAGCAGUCCUGGAGCCUAUGUUGUUGAUUGUGGGAAUGUUAUGGAGGAGUUUUUGCCAGAUUCACGAAGCUACAAACAAGAUGUGGAGGAAGAGAAUGAUGUGCAAGGUUGGACAAUCAAAAAGUCAAGAUGGGAUUGUGAUGAUGUUCCGUCACCAAGGGGGGCUGAUGAAAAACAGAAGCACGGUAAAGUGAGCUCCAGUCCUGAAAUUGGUGGUGGAUCGUCGGAGAGCACAAUCACUAGAUCAUCAGGAAGCAAUGGAAGAGAUCAUUAUUCGGGUGCUUCGUCUGAUGACACCGAUUCUGAAAAGGACUUCCUUUUGGAUUCCAUGGUCGAUGUUGAGGAACAAAGUGAUGAUGAUUAUUCUCUGUCAGAUUCUGAUGAGACUGGUGGAUUGAUGCAUGGGCAGAGAAACAUAAACAUGCUUCAGAGUUGCAGAAGUGUGUGCGAGUUUGAGAUGAUUAAGAAGAUAAACGAAGGAACUUAUGGUGUUGUCUACAAGGCUAGGGAUAAGAAGACUGGAGAACUAGUGGCAUUGAAGAAGGUAAAGACGAACAUAGAGAGGGAUGGCUAUCCGAUGUCAUCCUUGAGGGAAAUAAACAUUCUCUUGUCUUUUAAUCAUCCCUCCAUUGUGAAUGUUAAAGAAGUAGUUGUUGAUGAUUUUGAUGGUACUUUUAUGGUAAUGGAGCACAUGGAGUAUGACCUUAAGGGGCUGAUGGAGGUUAAGAAGCAGCCCUUUAGCAUGAGUGAAAUUAAAUCGUUGAUGCGACAACUUCUUGAAGGUGUCAAGUAUCUCCAUGAUAAUUGGGUUAUCCAUAGGGACUUGAAGUCAUCAAACAUCCUGCUUAACCAUGAUGGGGAGCUUAAAAUAUGUGACUUUGGGUUGUCAAGGCAGUAUGGAAGUCCGCUGAAGCCAUAUACUCCUCUUGUGGUUACACUAUGGUACAGAGCACCUGAACUUUUGCUGGGUGCUAAAGAAUACUCAACAUCAAUUGACAUGUGGUCAGUGGGUUGCAUAAUGGCUGAAUUAAUUGCCAAGGAGCCUCUGUUCAGGGGUAAAAGUGAACUUGAACAACUUGACAAGAUUUUUCGAACCCUGGGUACACCCGACGAGAAAAUUUGGCCAGGAUUAUCCAAAUUACCUGGGGCUAAAGCAAAUUUUGUUAAGCAACCGAUUAAUACACUAAGAAAGAAGUUUCCAGCCGCGUCAUUUACUGGUUUGCCAGUUUUAUCUGAGCUGGGAUUUGACUUGUUGAAGCGGCUGCUAACUUAUGACCCUGAAAAGAGGAUAACAGCCGAAGAUGCUCUCCUUCAUGAUUGGUUCCAUGAAGCCCCUCUUCCCAAAUCUGAUUUCAAGCCAAUUUUUCCUUCUUGGCAGUGAUAGGACAGGUACUCUUGCUGGAUGCAUGAAAUACCAAGAUCAAUGCUAUUUUUACUGUCAUUAUUUCCAACUUUGUCUUACCUUGUUAAUGAUCAUAUAUAAAGAAUGAUAUGAUUGCAAGGGACAGGGUAAUGGACUUCAUUAGGCUCUUGUUUGUUAUAAAUUAGAUUAGAAGCGGCAGAUUGAUGUAUAGACCUGAGAAGGACAAUUUAGUAAUAGAUGAUGGAUAUUUGCUCUGGUAUGUUCUUAUCCUUCCUGUACCAUUUUCACAAUGGUUUGUUCUUAUCCUUAUGGCUGCCCCAUUUAAUUUGGGACUAUCAAAUUUUGUUCUUUUUUCUCCUACAUUUAAUUUUUACAUCAGGAAAUGCUCUUAAAAAAUUUGGGUGCAUUGAUGCACAAGCAUUGGUAGCUGUUGGAUAUGUAGAAAAAUAAACCGAUUGCAAGGAAUAUUCAUUUUGAACAUGAUCAACAGGUAACGAGGUUGGGUUUCUCACUUUGAAAGUUGCUUCCUGAAAUAAAAUGAUGUGUUGUGGCUUAUUAAAAACAGUGUGCAAGAUUUUGGGGGCUAUCGAGGUUUGUUCUUUUUCUCCUACGUUUGAUUUUUACAGCAGGAAAUGCUCCUGAAAAUUUUGGGUGCAUUGAUGCACAAGCAUUGAGCUGUUGGAUUGUGGAUAUGUAGAAGAAUAAAUCAAUUGCAAGGAAUAUUCAUCUUGAGCAUGAUCAGCAGGUGAUGAUGUCGGGUUUCUCAAUUUAAAAGUGGUUCCCGGAAAGAAAAUGAUAUUGUGUUGUUGGCUUACUAAAAAAAAAAGGCUAAAAUGCAAUUUUCAUUUUCUCAAAUCUUUGAUUUUAGUCUCCCCACUUUUUAAUUGAGACAUUUCAUCCCUUUAAAAAGUUUGUGAUUUUAGUUUCAUUUUUUAAUCAAAGACAUUUCGUCCUCCACUUUAAUAAAAAAUCUGUAAUUCAUUUUUUUUUGGGAAUAAAAUAAUAGUUUUGGGGGGCUAUAUAGUUUUGUUCCUCUUUUGCCUACGUUUAAUUUUUACUCCAGGAAAUGUUCUUAAAAAUAUUGGGUGCAUUGAUGUGCCAAGUAUUGGUAGAUGUUGGAUAUGUAGAAAAAUAGAUCAAUCGCAACUAGCAAUAUUCGUUUUCAACAGGUAAAAAGGUUUUUCAAUUUGAAAGUUGGUCCCUGAAAUAAAAUGAUGCAUGCCCCUUUACCGAAAUACGGGUUUUAAAUUAAACGAGAGGUGGAAAUGAGUUUAGGCAGUGAAUUGCAUGUUGAACUAUGGUGAAGGCAGGGGCUUAGAAGCUUGGUGGAGCUGCUGAUGUCAGAGCUAGGUGGUAGUGAGAAAAGAUGGCAAAGUCCACCAAGGGUGCUGAAGUGAUAUUAGCGCUCAAUUUGUGCCCACACUGCAAUUAAGUUCAAGGGAAGUAUUGAAAAUCCUUUGGUGAUGCUAAUUUAUACCCCUUAAUUACAGUGGGGUGGGUCUUGUAGAGACUGGUGAAGACGUUUAUCAUUUGAUUUGUGUAUAAUUCUAAUAAUUCAGAAUCUAACUGAAAUCUACCACCCCUUCCAAGGAUUCACUAUAUAAUGUAUAUAAUGUUUUUUUUAUUCACUAUAAAAUGUAUAAGAUUUUAAGGGAUUCAUUGCUUACUUUUCAGAAGAGUAAAAUCUUCAAAUUAGUUUAGUUCACGAGAUUGUACAGGAUAGAUAUUAUAGUCUGAUAUUUUAAACUCUUAUAUUUAGUGUCUUGUAUAACGUCAUUUGUAACGGAUGUUCAACUUGCAACAUUAGUCCGAAAACCUGCCAGUUGAACUCAUUGUUAGGAAAUCUAACAAUUACAAUUUUCAGGGUA